UUGAACUUUCUUCUGUAAUCUGGUGUUUUACGACACUCUCUAGCGUUUCCUUUCACUAAUCUCUCGUUUUCAGAUUUCCUUGUUUGGUUGCUGGGAAUUAUUGGGGAAAAGUUCGCCAGGAACUUAGGGUUUUCAUGACUGUUUGGUUUUGAGUUUCUUUCAAAUAGACGGCGUCCUAUCUUCGUACAAUUCCUUCAAGAAAUUGCAGAUGUUAUUUUAUUUAUGCGGAAGAUACAGUUGCACUUAAUACAAUCUUAGAAGAUUUCGAGUUGUCUGUUGAAGUUGUUUGUUAACCUUAAUGAUUCACUCAAAUAUGUUUUUUGGCAGCUUAGAGGCUUAUGUUUUUUGGGAACGUCCUGUCUGUAGCCUAAGGUUGUUUUGUAUGGCACUUACGCUCUCAGUUGUUCAAUCACGUGGCCCGAUAACUGACUACCUCCGGGAAGAGUUCCAGUUGAAAUACCUUAUUGAAGGAAAUGAUAGUGGCUUUGAGAACGUGUACAAGUUGAGGCAAACCCACAUUGCUUUUGGAAAUUUGAAGAGCUUUGUUUAUCUCAUAUCAAAAUCGUUACUGGAGGGAGACACAUGGUUAUGCAGCACCUGAAAACCUCUCAUGUGGAACAGAUGAUGCCUAAUGAGUUAGAAGAUGGUGGGAAAGUGUAUCUAGUAUAUCCAGUCAUUGAACAAUCUGAGCAACUGCUCAACUUCGUGCUGCUUAAGCAGAGCUUGAAGUUAUAUCAGACAUGUUUGAGGAUUACAACUGUUGGAUUAUUACAUGGAAAACUGAAUAGUGAUGAGAAAGAUGAAGCGUUGAGACACUUUAGAUCUGGGGAAACACAUAUAUUCUUCUUUCCACUCAAGUAAUAGAGAUUGGCGUCGAUGUUCCAGAUGCAUUUAUGAUGAUUGUUAUGAAUGCUGAGAGAUUUGGAAUACCUCAGUUGCACCAACUUAGGGAGUGAGGGGACGAUUUGGUCAGGUUGUGAGGAAGUCUAAAUGUAUAUUAUUGGGUAUUGGCAUCAACGGCAAGUAGCCUUGAACGGUUAGAGGUGCAGAUCGAACAAAAUCAUCAGAUGGUUUUUACUUGGCAAUUAUGGAUCUUCUUCUUGGUGGACCAGACCUGGUGAUUUGCAUGGUAAGAAACAAUCAGGACACCUUCCAAGAGUUUCCUAUUGCCGGCUUGGUAAAAAAGUCCGAUAAUUCCUUUUUGUUCUUUCUAAUGCAUGCAUAUAAUUGUAGAACUAAUGAUCUUUCAGUGCAAGUGUCAGGUAGAUACGUUGAUACAGGUGAAUAAUGUAAAACGCAGAUUGUAAGUUGGAAAGUCCUCAAUUUCCUCUGAACUGCACGGGCCUUCGUUUUUACAUUCAGUCCCAUGUAUCAUCUAGCUGGAUGGGCCGAUGGCUGCCACUCAACAGUUUAUUUUUCUUCCUUGACCCUCUUAAAGCAUAUAAAAGAGACACCGUUCAUCAAGUAAGAAAAAAAAAGGACCGGAUCUGCGCCGUUAAUCAAGUAAUUGCGACGCGGGCGAAAGCGUGAGAAGUGUUUCGCUGAUUCAUUAAUUCGGUGACAUAUGUCGGUGAUGACUUAUAAAAAAGACAUAAUCUACGCCGUUGAUCAAAUAAUUUCAAAGCAGUGACCGUUAUGAGUUGUAGGUAUGUAAUUUAAGGAUUAGCAUAUGUCGGUGAAAUUACUAUAAGAAAAACAUUCUCAUCGAAGUAAGAGAAUUGGUGUUCGACGAAGCGCUUCAUCUUUCGCUAAUCUCUGGUUUUCGGCUUUCCUUGAUCGGCUGCGGGCAAAUCGUUUGGGUAACUUUCUUAUGUAAUCUGGUGUUUUGCGAUACACUCUACGUUUCCUUUCACUAUUCUCUCGUUUUCAGAUUUCUUUCUUUGGUUGCUGGGAAUUAUUGGGGAACGUUGGCCGUGAAGGUUUUCAUGAUUGUUUGGUGUUGAAUUUCUUUUCACUAAUCUCGUCAAGUUUCUUAAGAGAACUGGACUGGUGUUUGACGACAAUAUAGAGCUUCCUUUUUCACUAAUCUCUGGUUUUCGGGUUUCCUUUUUCUAUAGCUUUUCCUUUCAUUGAUCUCUCGUUUUCAGUUCCUUGUUUGGUUGCUGGGAAUUAUUGGGGGAAAGUUGGCUGUGAACUUAGGGUUUUCAUGAUUGUUUGGUUAUGAAUUUCUAUUCAAAUAGACGGCGUCCUAUCUUCGUACAAUUUCUUCAAGAAAUCGGAUAUCGGAUAUAAACUCAAAAUUUGUGUUCUAGAUUGAGUAAUAUUUCUUGUUCAAUCGUGUAGAUGUUAUUUUAUUCGGGCGAAAGACACAGUUGCACUUAAUAAAUUCUUCGAUGAUUUCGAGUUGUCUGUUGAAGUUGUUUAUUAACCUUAAUGAUUCACUCAAAUAUGUUUUUCACAGCUUUGAUGCUUGUGUUAUUCGGGAAUGUCCUUUCUGUGGCCUGAGGUUGUUUUUAUGGCACUUACGCUCUCAGUUGUUCAAUCACAUGGCGCGGUAUGCGUAAAUUUCUAUAGACAUUUUGUUGUUUUUUGAGUCUGUAGUACAUUGUUUUCCCCCCCUUUUUAAGAUUCACAAUUUCUAACUAAAUCCAUUCUUAAUGAGUUUGGCUUUUGGCUUACUGCUUGAUUUUACUUGCAAUGGUGGGUUAUUAUCAUUAAGUUUUUGGUGAAGGCUUACUUGUGAAGAUUAAAGCCCAUGAGUAUUUCAGGCUCUUCACAUUGAAAGAUUUUUAGGAUUUAUAGAAUGAUGCAUUGCACAUGGAUAUUUAUACCAUGACAAUGGAUUUGGAGCUUUGUAAAAUGUUGCUCUUGUUAGAUUUUAUUGAUGAUGCUUACAGUUCUACAUAUUCACAUAAGAUCAAAUGAUCGAUAGGAUUGUAAGGUGGAGAUGUGCGCUUUAAGUGCACCUUGUGCCUCAAGCGAUAGAAGACCUUUUCGCCUUGCGCCUUUGACAACUAUGAUCAAUGAUGGUUGUUAUGAAUGCUGAGAGAUUUGGAAUACCUCAGUUGCAGCAACUUACUUAGAGGACGAUUUGGUCGGGGUGUGAGGAAGUCUAAAUGUAUAUUAUUGCUUAUUGGCAUCAACAACAAGUAGCCUAGAACGGUUAAAGGUGAUGAAAAAAAUCAUCAGAUGGUUUCUUAGUUAGCAAACAUGGAUCUUCUUCUUGGUGGACCUGGUGAUUUGCUUGCUAAAAAACAAUCAGGACACCUUCCAGAGUUUCCUGUUGCCAGCUUGGUAAAAAAGUCUUAUAAUUCCUUUUGAUUUUUUCUAAUGCAUACAUAUAAUUGUAGAACUAAUGAUCUUCACAGUGCAAGUGUCAGGCAGAUACAUUGAUACAGGUGAAUAUGUAAAACACAUAUGGUAACUUGACAGUCCUCAAUUUUCUCUGAUACUGCAUGGGCCUUCAUUUUUACAUACAAGCCCUUGUAUCGUCUAGCUGGAUGGGCCGAUGGCUUCUGCUCAACACUCAACAGUUAUCUGGAUAGAAUGUUUUGGGUUUAAUAAUUUCCUCUUAUCAAAGUAUCAAGAAUACAUUAUCGAGCAAAGCAUAAAUAUGCAGAAAAGCUGCUGCAUGAAGUAGAUGGUUACGAGACAACUUGCAUUGGUGAUCAUUUGAAGCUGCAUGAUAAGGUGCAUUCAUAUGUAUAACUGCAUGAGUGUUUUGUGCAGAUUAAUCCUCAUAGAAUUUAUGUCAUUUUCAUUUUGCUUCAGGCAUAAACAAUGCUUUGCAUGCAUAUGGGUGCACAUUGCAAUGUCUUUCCUUGAUUUGUUUCAAUCGAUGCGACCUUCAUCAUCUUGGAUAUGUAUUUAUUUCAUUUGCUGCGCUAUAGCAUAUCUUUGUUAAGACCCUCAUGCAUCUUGGUUGCAUUCACUUUAUGAACAAUGAAUCCUCGGCUUGGUUACAUUCACUUUUUGGACAAUGAACCCUUGGCUUGGUUACAUUCACUUUUUGAACAAUGAACCAUUCAGCUUGGUUACAUUCACUUUAUGAAUAAGGAACCAUUCAGCUUUGUUACAUUCACUUUAUGAACAAUGAAGGCUUGGUUGGCUUGGUCACAUUCACGUUGUCAACAAUAAAUCCUCGGCUCGGUCACACAUUCACUUUAUGAACAAUGAACCCUCGGCUGGUGACAUUCACGUUGUGAACAAUGAACCCUCGGCUUGGUCACAUUCACAUUGUGAACAAUGAACUCUCGGCUUGGUCACAUUCCCUUUAUGAACUAUAAACCCUCGGCUUGCUUACAUUCACUUUAUCUGGAGGCCUAUAUUAGAACUACUGAAAAUGUCGUGUCGGAUAUGUUGGGAACAAAAUUUCGUAACUUGACUCUGAAUGGACCAAAUGUCUGACAUUGGAUGCGAGGAUAUGUGACCGAGCUGUAUGACUUAUUGUUAUAAUGAAGAUGACUUUACAAUUGAUUUGAUGUCAGUACUUCACCUUAGAUAUUCCAUACGUCUUCCUGAAUCUAUGCUUUUCUUCUCGUGGCAAAGGGGUGAGGAUGCAUAAAAUUCGUUAUCUUUCUGGAUCUUAUCUUUCUCACCUUAUUUUGAGUUUGUAUUCCUUAUAUUUUUUAGAAUUUUCCAUUUGGAUUCCCCCUAUCAAAUUUGGGUUUUUGCAUCGUGUCUUAGUCAAUCAAUGUUGAAGUCCAUUAUUGUUCUGUUUGAUGAAACUUUUAUUGAAUUGUAAAAAGCCUGUUUCGAGCCAAAUUAAGUGCAGAAUCCAUCUCAUUUGUAUUUCGUGAUCCGGAUCUUAUGUCUAUUUUGUUUCUACUGUUAUAUUUAUGUGCAUGUCGGAGAAUUUCUGUUUUCUCCUACUAAAUUGGCCCUUUAUGCGUGCUCUUGGUUGUCAAUGGUGAAGUCUGUUCUUUAAUUGUGUUUGUCUGAUGUGAUGGCAUAUAUUAUUGUUAAAUUUUGCCGAACGCCUGUUUGGAGCCAAUAUCUCUCAUGGAUUCAAUUCAUGUAGCCGACCCCAAAUAAUUUGGCAUGAGGCUCAGAUGAUGAUGAUGAUGGUGAUGACAUUAACAGAGAAAGGUCUCACUGAUCUUUGAAUGUGUUUCCUCUUUUAUUUUGCCAGAAUAAUUAUCCACAUAUAGCAAUUCUCUUUGCUUGUAGGUAUCGGUUCUAAUGCACUGUGAUGGUUUUCAUGAUUUAAUUGCGAAUAAACGAGCCGGAAAACAAUAUGGUCCAAGUUUUAAGGCUGCUAUCGAUGGCUACGAUGCUUCCUUGGCACGUAGAAAGUGUCCAUCUAUCAUUUUGGGAAGUUCUCCUCUAGUUGCACUAUAUGAUGAGAACCCAGUUUGCUCUGAAACGACGUGUCUUACCAGCUUCAAGUUUAGAAGAAUUUCCUCCUACUUCCAUGGGUGCAGAGUGGCUUCAUUCAAAUACCAACGGUGAACCAUGGUGUUCUACAAAUGCCACUGCAAAGGUGAACUCUCAAAAUGGUCUUGGUGGUACUUUUACAUCAUCUGACAGUAUUCCUUUGCUCAUCUCAGUCAGUAACUUUGAAAGCUGAAGAUAAAUCCAAUGAUCCAGCGCUUACAGUUGAAUCUCCUAGCAAAGCGGUGCUGAUAUUAGAAUUGGAUGCUGAAUCUCGUGUUGUCCCUGGAUAAUUUAGUUGUAUUCCUGGUUUGAGCAAAAAGUAUUGUCUUCAACUGGAGAGCUGUGGUUUUCACACUCUGGUUCUUUUGAGACCAUAUAAAAGCACUGCCUUCUAAAACUUGUGCUUGAAAUUGGUCUGAGCUUUACACUCUACUUGCUGUUUCCAUGCAGCUAAGGAAAUUGCUACAUCAUUUUCCUCGGAUUUAGCUGAUUUACAGAAUGCCCAGGCAGAAAUUGAUGAUGGGCAAUACAUGAUUUGUGUUGGGGGAAUCUUAUCUUCUAGGUAAGCAGAUAUUUGUUGUUUGGUGAUAAUAGUUUCCCAGAAUGCAUGCAUCUUGUUUUUCAUUGUCUUCAUUGGAUUUCAAGAAAGUUUGGACCAGGUUUGCCUUUUGUUAUAGAUGUGCUUGGCUGUUCUCUAAGACAUUUGGUGAGGGAAAUGAAAUCUAGUGCGUUGAUGCACAUUGAGUUGGCAGAUUUCA